rnacentral:sRNA from 1 species
UGCACUUCAGCAAUGCCAAGGGCAGAGC